AGAGUUUGAUUCUGGCUCAGGAUGAACGCUGGCGGCGCGCUUAACACAUGCAAGUCGAACGGUUAAAGCACCUUCGGGUGUGUAUAAAGUGGCGAACGGCUGAGUAACACGUGGGCAACCUGCCCCUCGCACCGGGAUAGCCUCGGGAAACCGUGGGUAAUACCGGAUACUCCGCCCACCCCGCAUGGGGAGGGCGGAAAGCGUACACGGCGGGGGAUGGGCCCGCGGCCUGUUAGCUCGUUGGCGGGGUAACGGCCCACCAAGGCGACUAUGGGUAGCCGGGUUGAGAGACCGACCGGCCAGAUUGGGACUGAGACACGGCCCAGACUCCUACGGGAGGCAGCAGUGGGGAAUCUUGCACAAUGGGCGAAAGCCUGAUGCCAGCGACGCCGCGUGCGGGAAGAAGGCCCUCGGGUUGUAAACCGCUUUCAGCAGGGACGAGGCGCGAGUGACGGUACCUGCAGAAGAAGCCCCGGCUAACUACGUGCCAGCCGCGGC
rnacentral:rRNA from 1 species